UAAGGGUAAAAUAGUUAGUAAUAAAGGAGCUACCAUUCUUAUGGAAGCUAAUCACAAUCACAAUAAUACCUUUGUUUCGAAAAUGAUAAAAAGAGAUGAUGUAUCAAUAAAAGAUAAUUGGCAUUUCGACUCCAUAACUGAGCCAGAUAUAGAAGAAGAAAAUUCAAAUAUUGAACAAGUAGUACAUUAUCCAGAUGGAUCUAUAGAUUUAAAAUUUCUAAGAUCACAAUCCUUUAAUCAGGCAUCUUAAAAUAAAAGAAUGUCCUUUUCUAGACCUUCAAUCUCCAAAUCUGUAGAAGAAAGGGAAGUAACAUUAGAAGAUAUUGAAAGAAAAUUAAAAGGAGUUUAUUUCUCAAAAACAAUUCCCCAAGUAGAAUAUGUGUCUAAAAAUUUAAAAACUAAAAAAUCAAUAAGUCCCACUGCUAGUGAAAUGCUAGGAAUAAGAGAUUCCCUAUGCAUAAGUAGGUCAGAUAUAAUUUUUGAACCUAACUUUGACUAUUUAGAUAAAUUAUAGAAUAACCCAAAAAAUUCUAUCAACAAGGAAUGGUAUAAACAAAAAUAUUAUUAAAAGAAAGAUAUUCUUUUAGAGAAAAACGGUGCAAUGAUAUAAAAAGAUUAAGAUGUAAUAUUGAAUUUUUAAAAUGGUUUGAAAUCACAAGAAAAUUAGAUGAUAAAAAAGAUUCGUUAAAUAUGAUUGCUAAUAAAAGGAAUAUUACAAGUAAUAAAGUAAUAGAAUCAACAAUUUCCCUUAGAAGAAAUUAGCUUAUCAGUAGAGGGUAGAAUUGUUAUUGUCUUACCUUUUAAAUUAGACACAGUAGUUACUAAAUGUGAUCCUACAAAUAAGGAUAUAAAUAAGAUACGCCAAUAAAAUAAUUAUACAAAUCAAUUAUUACAUGUAGUAUCUAAACAGAUUCUCGAAGCCGAGAAUAAAUACUGUUUUAAAGAUAAAUCAAGUUCUUCUCAUUAUGAUACAAAGUUAUAAACUCAUCCAAUUUUUAAAUUAUCAGAAUUCUCAAAAGAUAAAUUUCCUAAAUUUGAAGAAAAGUUAGAAGUAGCCGACGAUAUUUUAAGAAAAAUUAAUGAAAGAUUAAAAAAUGAAUUAAAAGACACAAUUGACAAGGUUAUAAGAAAUUUAUCAGAAAGGAAUGGUGAUGAAAUAAACAAAUGUAGCUCUUAAUAUUCAGUGUAAAAGAAUUAUCAUCAAAAGUCCACAUUUUCGGAUAUCCAUUAUGAAGAAAAUAAAUUUUUAUCUCAUACUUCACAUUCUGAAAAAAGAAAUUGUCGAAUGGAAUAUAGAUGAAUUAACAGAACAUCAAAUAUAUAACAGACUACAUGAAAUGGGAAUGACCAUUACAACAUAUAAAAUUGCCAAGACGUCAGAUAAACAAGCAACAUGUAUAAUUAUAUCAGGUUUUACAGGUUCCAUAAAAUAUUGGUAGGGUAAUUACCUCACAGAUGACAAAAGACAAAGCAUUUUAAAUGCUACUACUAUUACUCAAACUAUUAAGAAUGAGUCAACAGGACAAAUAGUUGAAAAUCAAGUCUUAGAAGAUGCUACCGCCACUUUAAUUUAUAGCAUAGCUAAACAUUGAUAGGAGAACUUCAGCUUUUUCUAGAAAGAAGUUUAGAAAUAUUAUCAAAUUUAUCAUAUUCAAAGUUAGGUGAUUUUAGAUGGUGUAAAGACGUUUUCGUCUACAAAUUCAUGGUUAGAGAAGAUUUUCAUCAUGUUUAUUGGAAAGAAAAAUUUAUAAGUGGUUUAUCAGCUUUAUUUGUAGAAAAAGUUAGAACAAAAUUAAAAGAUAGAUUUGAGGGAAAAAUUCCUUAUUAUAAUUUAACUUAUGGUGAUAUUAUAAGUUUUAUAAAUGUCGCAGGACUAGAAUUAUGUUCAUAUAUUAAACUUAAAAAUAAACUUAAAAGGGAUAGUAAAAUAACUUGAAAUGAGCUAGGAAGCUUUUGUCAUGAUUUUGGUUAUAUAAAAUUAUCAUCCCCUUUAAAGGAAGCUACCAAAAAUAUUCAAACACAACAUAAAAAUUAUAAAGAUAAAUCCAAAAAUUCUCAUUAUUAUAAAAGACGAUUUAAGGGAUCUAAAAAAGCUUCUAAAGGUGAAAAUAAAAUCAAUAAUGAAACAUGUUGGAACUGCGAAAAAAUUGGACAUAGGGCUAAAGAUUAUUGGGUUCCAAAUAAAAAGAAAGACAAAAUAAAUAUGUUAGAAUUAAGAAAUAUUAUUAAAGAUAAAUUAUAUUCCAUUCUUGAUGAAAAUGAAAAUUGUUCUUUUAUUGAAGAAAAUCUUAGCAAUGAUAAUCAACUUAAUGUAGCAUAAAGUUUAGAUUGUAGUAAAUUAACAGACCAUUGUAAUUGUAGUGGUGCAAUUUUCACUUGCGACAGUCAUUCUAUAAGUGUUAUCACUAAUAAUAAUAAAGAAAAACUGGUCUUAUUUGACAUGAUAGGUCAUCUAGAGGACCCAACUCUCAAGAGAGAAUAUUUAAUAGCCUUAAAAGAUAUUGUUCUUGAUCAAUUGUCACGACCCAAAAGGCCAUGAGUGGCACCCACACUAACCUUCCUGUGGGAGAACCAUCUAAAUCAAACCAUUACUAAAUCACUUAGUCAGUAUUAAAAUGAUAUUUUCAUAAAACCAUCUUAACAAUAAUAAUCUGGAGUUAAUCAUCAGUAACGCAGAAACCAAACAAUCUACUUACUGAAAUUCCCAAGACCCAAAAUUCAUCGUACAAGAACUACUAACAAAGAUCAUAUCUAAAGUGAUAUAAAAAAAAUAAAGUAAAUAAAGAAUGUUUGAUUUCCCGAAAGAUGGAUAAGAACAAAAAAGAUGACCUAUGGCAGCUUAGAGACGGAGUGCUCACCCUUGGAUCAAGAUCUGCUAUCAAACUCUUGAGGUGAGGUCAUGUCUGAGCCUAGAACACUAUCUACACUCAACAAAAGAAGAGUACAAGGUAGUAUCAGUACAAACCAUUAUUACUAGUAAGUAUCAUAGGCCAACUCAAUUUAAUAGCAUGUACACAACCUAAAUUAAAUAACAAGUAGACAGGCAUCGUCACAUAACAAAUAUUCGAUGAAUCAACAGUACAGCAACAUCAGGUCAAACAGUACUCACAAACAAGCCACAAAACCAUCAAGAGUAUUAACCAUACUGUAAACAUCCACAGAAAUAACACAAAUAUGUAUACACAUGCUAUGAGACUUAGUUUUGCCCAAAUAGUCAUGACCUGUAGGUAACAAUCUAUGUUCAUGUAUCGUACCGGAGUGGUACCCAAUCCAACAUAAAUAUAAACGUACCAGCGUGGUACCCGAUCCAACAUAAAUAUAAACGUACCGGCGUGGUACCCGAUCCAACAUAAAUAUAAACGUACCGACGUGGUACCCGAUCCAACAUAAACAUAACCAAGUAGUAUCAAUAUCAAUUUACACACCCUUAUAGCAUGCCAGACAAUGUACCAAGUUUACAAGUACACUUAAAGUCAUAAGAUAAUUCCAUCAAGUCAAUUUUCAAUAAACAUUUAUACACAAAUCAACAAUCCAAACAUCAACAAUUUCAAGCAUGUCCGAAUACCAAUCCACAAGUAUCCAAUUUAGGAGCAUACACAUAAUUUAAUUGAGUCUAAACUCUAAUUAAACCGUAACCUACCUCAACCAACGAAUCCAAACGUAGUUAGUCCACAAGCGCCUUGCCCUUCCUCAAAGAUGAAGAACGUUCAAAAUCUGUUCCAACAUAAUAUAUACUCCCCGUAAAAAUACGAAUCUAAUAGCACCCGUUUAUAAAUUUUCUCUAAAAUUCUAAACCUAAAACCAAAAGGUUUCUAUUAAGAAGAUUGUAGUUGGUAACAAAUGCAUGAAAAAUUUUCCUAAGGACUAAUAUAACCAUGAAUAUGUACUGCUGGGAUUAAGAAAUCUUUACAUUAUCCACCUUUCCCCCUAUGUCAUCAUCGUAGGCCUAUGAUUAAAAAUCUUUACACAAUUAUUAGAAAAGAACAAGAUUUAUAUAACAUGGAUACCGAAUUCUAAAACAACAAUACAUUUAUUUAUGCACCACUGCCUAACAUCACACACCCUUAUAUUACUGUACACCACUUCCCAUGACAUGAUAGUUACCUAUUAGUAGAUAAAGCUUCAAUUCCACAACCUAAAUAGCCUAAUAUGUUCAUCAAUUUUCAUAGCAACGCCACUACAUCUUGUCGUUGUUAACUACUAGAAAAGAAGAUAAUUUCAAUAGAUUGGUUGCAAAUUGAUAAACUCGUUACAGUGGUACAUGUGUACACAUCUUAAUUCAAUGAAAAUCUAACCUGGAGUUUACACCGAGAGAUGAGAGAUUCUUUUUGAAAAUACAAUGGUGAAACCAUAGGUUUCAUGCCCCACUUCUUGCCCUAAUAUAUGAUGACAUUAAUAUUAUAAAUGAUAAACUUUAACCACUUAAUUUCAUUCUUAUACUAACUACAUAAGUAAAAUAAAUUAUUAUUUUAAUCUACUAAUUUAUUAAUUUAAUUUUUUAUCUAAUACCCAAAACUUUUAAUAAUGUCUCAAAAUUUGUUCACCACCCCAUAAAAAUAAAUUAAAUAAUUAAAUUGACUAAAAUGUAUAUUUCAGACCUAUUGAAAACAUUACGAUACUAAUCGGAUGUCAUCUCAACAAAAAUUGACCACGAUCGGAUUUACUUCAUCAAACCUCUAUAAUUCAAUGACUUAUUAAAUUACUACUAAACACUUUGACGAUUGGUACUAUCCUCCCCUGUCAGUCCUAAUUCAUGUGUACAAACUACGGAGAGCCCUAAAAUAAAGAUGAUGAGAAAAUUUCACAAACGACCAGGAGAGUCGUUACAUUAGAUACCAAUUAAACAACCGUUCGUCCCCGAACGGCCAAACAAGCGACAAGAAAGGAAACUAAAGAAUUAACUAAACCCUAAAAAAUAUGUGGAUACUUGCUACACAUGUCUGCUUCGGUCUUCCAAGUGGCCUCUUCAAUAGGAUGAUUCUUCCACUGGACUUUCACAGAUGCAAUCUCCUUUGUCCUCAACUUACGGACAACCAAAUACCUAGCUGAUCCUAUGCGUACCCCCAAUGCCCCAAACUAAAAGUUCAAUCAGUAUUCAACAACACAAGACAUAUUCUUCACCCAUACACAUGCAACUGUUCUAUACCGACUGAUAAAUUUAUGUGCAUACUGGUGAUAGGCGAUGCACAUAUAGGUAUGAAUGCAGGUACAAUCAAUAUCACAACUUAUCAUAACUAUCCUCAUCAGGACCAUUAUCAUCGUAAUCAACCUCCGACCUUGUACAAAAUCAACAUAUCAUCAAUAGUAUCCUCUGGCCUUGUCGGGUAUCAACAUAUUAUAAAUAUAUCCUCCGGCCUUACCGGGUAUCAAGAUCAUCACAACAUUUUCCUCCUUCCUUAUCGGAUAUAAACAUAUCAUCAUAAUAGUCAUUACCGAAUAACAUACAAUAAAAUGCUCAUAAAAAAAUAGUCAUAUCACCAUAGAAUAUCUAUCUAGUCAAUAGUUCCCAACUACUCUUUAUUAGUUAACCAACACUUAUUACAAUAGAAUCACUAGUUCACUAGUCAUCACAUAACCUCUAGUUAUUAGGUUAAACAUUAUCCUUCACAUAAUCCUUAUUUACGGGAUAGAAACUAACCACUAUUUAUUUAAUAACCAACAUCUAACAUCAAGUCAAAGUUUAUCACUAGACCAGAACCGUAAUUUAUCCGCUAUUCAGUUUUUUCAACUAAUCAUCCUAUAUCUGUUAAUCAUUAUUAAACAACACAUUACUACUUGUCACCUAAACAACUUUUAUUAACCGACACGAUUCAUUAGCUAACCAUCAUUUACCAACUAGUCCUUGCUUAAAUAUUCAUUAAUUUAACCAUUUAGCAACUAUUCAAAGUUAUUAACUAGUCACAUCUUAUUACCAAUAUCUCUUAUCAUCUAGCCUCAUUAACAUACAACUCCUCGUUCAUCGACUAAUCGACAUCACAAACUUAGUCAUCAAUACCAACUAUUCUUCAGUAAUGCUAGACUAGACCUCACUAUAAGUCACACAUUAACUAUCACUAGCUAUAAUAUUUCAACUAAACAAGAUUCAUUAACUAAUACAUUAGAUUCUUAGCCAUCAAGUGCUAUAGUCCCUUAAUAGACAACUAGUUACCACAUAGCUUAACCGUUAAUUAGGCAGAACAAUUGUAAGAUCAUGGUUUAGAUACAAUCACAUAAAUUACCAAUAUAAUACUCAUGAAUGUACCAAAUCUAUGCAUGCCAUGACCAAUAUCCAAUCAAUAAAGUCAUAAGCAACAUACCACAUCUUCCUCCAUCCCAUACCGAAGAGGUGUAUGCAAACAUAUAUGUAUUCAUAAACUGCAACAUACCCUUUACACUGAUAAACACUCCUCAAAUAUUCAAUCAUUAUCAUAACACGAUCCUUGGCCUAUUCAUUUAUUCGGAAUAGUCACAAUAUCAUAAUUACGACCUUAGGCCCAGAUACAUAUCUGGAACUCAUAUUGAUAAUCAUACUUAUAAGCUGUAGCAUAUCUCUAAUCAUCUCACAUAUAGGAGGUAUCUCACAUAUUAGAGGCGUAAUAUAGAUAGAAAUGUAACUGUCUAUGAGAUAUCUUAUUUUGAUAGGUCAUACAUCAUGACUACGAGGAAUAUCACCUCUCUAGGACAAUUUGCAUAUCUAAGAGGAACAUCAUCUCUAUUGGUCCAAUAAUCAUGACUAAAGGAAAUAGCAACUCUAUGAGUCAAUCAUCAAGCCUAAGAGAAAAUAGCAUCUCUAUGACACAUAACAUAUCUAGGAGGAAUAUCAUCUCUAAAUGACCAAUAUCACUUCCACAAAGAGUAUCAUAAUCACAAAUCAAAAGCUACAUUCUGCAAGCAUCAAUACAAGUUACCAAGUUACGAAGUAACCUUAUUCUAAGCUUUACUAGCCUCAUAUAUGUUUAAUAUUUGCAACUAAGUCCACUAGACUUAACACAAGUUUAGGACUAAGUGGACCUGACGAUUCCACUUCUAAUCCUCAAUUUCUAUAAUUAGUCACGCCAUGCCUCAAACUAGGCUAAGAUAUCUAGUUCAUCUUCUAGAUGUCAAGUAAGCCAUAUUUAAGCCUAAGAUAGCAACUUUGACUAGAAAUAAGGUACUCAAGUCAACUCUAACCAACUUAUGAUUUCAAGACUAUCGCACUAGCCCAAUAAGAGUAAAUAUACAAAUCAUGCUUCAAAUACUAAAACCACAUCCCAAAUAUAGGUUUACAUCAUAACUAUGCUACAACUAAUCUAAACUAGAGAGGGAAAAGCAAUAGGAUUAAAAAGGGGUAGAAACAUGCCAUUUUAUAGGUACUAUAAAAUUAGAGCCUACAACACAUUAUCCUCCAAAACAUUGAUAAUAUCCAUCUAAUCAUCAUACCUUAAUCACUCAACAAGAAUCUACACCAAGUAUCACUCAAAGAAAGAUCAAUCAUUCCAUUUAAGAAUUCAUUUAUUCUCCCAUUCAGGAUCAUCCUUAAUUAUGUUAUGAAUGUAACUAAGCCAUUUAAUUUUGCAUUACUAUUAUCUUGAAAAUUACUAUCCUCUAAAAGUGUCAUGUAUUAGCCAACCUUGUGGGACCUGCAAAAAUAUAGUUCAACCACAAGGACAAGUCAAUAAUAAUUUAUCUUCUCAAAAUUUUUCCUAAUGCAUAAAUCCAAAGCUACAACUUUUGUCCUGACAAUCACCAACUCAAUAUUUUUCAACGACAAAUGCUUUAUGGUCAAGACAAACCUCUCUUAUAUCACUAACACCAAUUUAAGAUAUACAGAGUCAUUCUUAUUUCUACUUAACAAUAUUUUUAUUACGGGCUUUACUUAACUCUUAAUCACCUCAAGAGUGGUCCCCACACCACUAACGCGUAAGCAAGGCCAAUCAAAAUAAAUUGAUUAUAGGUCAUUGACAGUCUCAUCACUAAUAUCGCAUUCUAGACAAGUCAUCGAUCAAAAUUCUAUGGGUAUCAACAACCUCUACUAGUUUUUGUCACCUUUAUUUAAAACUCAUUAUUUUUCCAAUCACUAAGAAUUCAUUUACAUAAGGAACUCAAAGAUAAUGUCACUUAGUUAGUCCUCGUAAGGAACCCAUUAUAAUUUCAAUAAUAGAACUGCACAAAAAUUCUAAAUAUGAUCUCAAUGUUCGAACCAUAUAAGGAUCCCUAAAUAAUAUCAAAUAAUCGAACUACACAAGGAUCCAUCCACAACAUCAUUAACAAGAACUUCUCAUUAUGAAAAAAAUAUAUCAC
rnacentral:lncRNA from 1 species